UAUUCGCUGCGCAGCGCCCCUUCAGCAAAGUGGGAGACGAAACGGAGCCCCUUCCAUUUCUCCUCCCGCUUUGCUGGAGAGGCGCUGCACAGAGAGG